GUCCUUUAGAUAUUAAUUUAAGGUCUAACCUGCCCACUGAAUUAUUUUAAAUGGCCGCAGUAAUUUGACUGUGCAAAGGUAGCAUAAUCAUUAGUUUUUUAAUUGAAAGCUUGUAUGAAAGGUUGGACGAAGUAAAAUCUGUCUCUAAUUAAAUUAAUUUAGAAUUUAACUUUUAAGUUAAAAGGCUUAAAUUUAACUAAAAGACGAGAAGACCCUAUAGAUCUUUAUAUUUAAAUUAAUAAAUUUAAUUAAGAAUUUUUAAAAUUUUAUUAAUUUAAUUAUUUUAUUGGGGUAAUAUAAAGAUUAAAAUAAUUCUUUUUUUUUAUUAACAUUAAUUUAUGAUUUUAAUGAUCCAAUUAUAUUGAUUUUAAGAUUAAGUUACCUUAGGGAUAACAGCGUAAUUUUUUUAGAGAGUUCUUAUCGAUAAUAAAGUUUGCGACCUCGAUGUUGGAUUAAAGAUUAUUUUAGGUGUAGAAGCUUGAAAUUUUUGGUCUGUUCGACCAUUAAAUCUUUACAUGAUCUGAGUUCAGACCGGUGUAAGCCAGGUCGGUUUCUAUCUUUAGUAAAUUAAAAUAUUUUAGUACGAAAGGACCAAUUAUUUAAUAUAAAUAUUUAAAUUUUGAUUAUUAUUAA
rnacentral:rRNA from 1 species